AUGUUACACGAAGAACCUUACCUGGGUUUGACAUGCUAGUGGUAAUGAAGCGAAAGCUAAGUGACCCGCAAGGGAGCUAGCACAGGUGCUGCACGGCUGUCGUCAGCUCGUGUCGUGAGAUGUUCGGUUAAGUCCGCUAACGAGCGCAACCCUCGCUGUGUGUUACAAGUGUCACACAGGACCGCCGGUCUUAAGCCGGAGGAAGGUGGGGAUGACGUCAAGUCCUCAUGGCCCUUAUGGGUAGGGCUUCACACGUCAUACAAUGGUCGGUACAGAGGGUUGCCAAGCCGCGAGGUGGAGCCAAUCCCUUAAAGCCGAUCGUAGUCCGGAUCGUAGUCUGCAACUCGACUACGUGAAGUCGGAAUCGCUAGUAAUCGCAGAUCAGCAUGCUGCGGUGAAUACGUUCCCGGGUCUU
rnacentral:rRNA from 1 species